rnacentral:rRNA from 1 species
AUUGAACGCCGGCGGCAUGCUUUACACAUGCAAGUCGAACGGUAACAGGCCGCAAGGUGCUGACGAGUGGCGAACGGGUGAGUAAUGCAUCGGAACGUGCCCAGUCGUGGGGGAUAACGCAGCGAAAGCUGUGCUAAUACCGCAUACGAUCUAUGGAUGAAAGCGGGGGACCGUAAGGCCUCGCGCGAUUGGAGCGGCCGAUGUCAGAUUAGGUAGUUGGUGGGGUAAAGGCUCACCAAGCCAACGAUCUGUAGCUGGUCUGAGAGGACGACCAGCCACACUGGGACUGAGACACGGCCCAGACUCCUACGGGAGGCAGCAGUGGGGAAUUUUGGACAAUGGGCGCAAGCCUGAUCCAGCAAUGCCGCGUGCAGGAAGAAGGCCUUCGGGUUGUAAACUGCUUUUGUACGGAACGAAAAGGUUUGGGUUAAUACCCUGGGCCGAUGACGGUACCGUAAGAAUAAGCACCGGCUAACUACGUGCCAGCAGCCGCGGUAA